UGAUGCAGCAACGCCGCGUGAGCGAUGAAGGCCUUCGGGUCGUAAAGCUCUGUCCUCAAGGAAGAUAAUGACGGUACUUGAGGAGGAAGCCCCGGCUAACUACGUGCCAGCAGCCGCGGUAAUACGUAGGGGGCUAGCGUUAUCCGGAAUUACUGGGCGUAAAGGGUGCGUAGGUGGUUUUUUAAGCCAGAAGUGAAAGGCUACGGCUCAACCGUAGUAAGCUUUUGGAACUGUAGGACUUGAGUGCAGGAGAGGAGAGUGGAAUUCCUAGUGUAGCGGUGAAAUGCGUAGAUAUUAGGAGGAACACCAGUAGCGAAGGCGGCUCUCUGGACUGUAACUGACGCUGAGGCACGAAAGCGUGGGGAGCAAACAGGAUUAGAUACCCCGGUAG
rnacentral:rRNA from 1 species